rnacentral:lncRNA from 1 species
UAGGAAGGUGACAUGGUCAGGUUGUUUCAGGAAGACUAACCUGGCAGGCAUUGUGGAGGAAGGAUCUGCAAUCCCGCAGGGCAGGAGGCAGCCAGCCCGGGAAAGAGGAGUUUAAGACCAAGCAUGUUCUGAGAACACCACACAGCAAGUACUGGGCUACAUGUUGUACAGACAUUCUCAUCAUGUCACUGGAACUUCUCAGCUAACCUGAGGUCAGAACCUUCUGAAAACCUGGGAAACUUUCUGUAGUCAGAAUCCACUACUCUACCACUAAUGUCUCUUCCAUCCGGCUCUGCAGCACCUGAGCAAAAGACCUCUGCAGCUGAGUCCAAAGAGCAUUCCCAUGUGAACCGAGCAACCAAGUAUCAUCGGAGUGAGUUUGUUAGAUUCUAGCCCCAUCCUGUGCUAGGCCUUAGGUAGACCUCUUACAGCUCACAAGAAAUGCAGUUUAUGAGGAAAGACCAUGAAUCGGGGGGCGGCCCGGGGAGGGUAUUACCAAACAGAUCAGCAUCAGGAACAUCAUUCCCAGAGAGAAAUUUGGCCAAUUGUCAGUUCAAGUACACAUCUCUCCCUCCUUUUACAGCAUAUUGCAAUAGAUUAUAGCCAUGCGAAAUAAUCCAUAAACUUAGCUAAUUCCACCAAACAGAUAGGAAAGAAGGUAGAGUCCUACAAGAGCCUAGUCAGAAUAAGAACUACAGUAAUUUUGCCAAAACCCUGUUAAGUUCUUGAAUAAUUCUGGUCAAAAUGGAUUUCAAUCUGAGUUAACUCACAGUCAACAAUUUGGCUGUUUUUCUUGCUUCUCACUCUACUGCCUUACUCUCUUCCACAGUGUUAAGUAGCCAUUUAAAUGGGUUUGUUCUGCUGCAGGUGGCUGAGCCUGGGAUUUCCAACUUGGGAGACUACACAGUGGACUCUAUAAUGAUUAGUGGCAGCAUCCAAUGUCUCUUCCAAGUCUAAAAUUUGUGAGUUUCAAAGUUGACUCUCCCCAAACCUGGCCUUUGCUGCCUCAGAUUCUGUCACUCUAGCAAGGCAGAGAGAGCAAAAGGGGCAAGACAAACCUCAUCAACAGCACAGAAAUCCCAGAAUCACACACUCUCUGGUCCAGCCAAGCCAAGUGUUUUUUUUUUUGUUGUUGUUGUUGUUUUUUAAAUCACCCUCCA